GGCCCCGUAGCUCAAUUGGAUAGAGCAUCAGCCUUCGGAGCUGAGGGUUGGGGGUUCGACUCCCUCCGGGGUCGCCA
rnacentral:tRNA from 1 species